rnacentral:snRNA from 1 species
UUCUCCUUGGCCUUUGGCUCAAAUCUAGUAUAGUAUCUGUUUUUAUCAAUAUAUCAAUUAAUAUGUCCUUUGCUUGAGGACUAUAUCCUGUCCUUAUUGAGGAUGGACUUGAU